rnacentral:rRNA from 1 species
GACGAACGCUGGCGGCGUGCUUAACACAUGCAAGUCGAACGGAAAGGCCCUGCUUUUGUGGGGUGCUCGAGUGGCGAACGGGUGAGUAACACGUGAGUAACCUGCCCUUGACUUUGGGAUAACUUCAGGAAACUGGGGCUAAUACCGGAUAGGGGCUCCUGCUGCAUGGUGGGGGUUGGAAAGUUUCGGCGGUUGGGGAUGGACUCGCGGCUUAUCAGCUUGUUGGUGGGGUAGUGGCUUACCAAGGCUUUGACGGGUAGCCGGCCUGAGAGGGUGACCGGCCACAUUGGGACUGAGAUACGGCCCAGACUCCUACGGGAGGCAGCAGUGGGGAAUAUUGCACAAUGGGCGGAAGCCUGAUGCAGCAACGCCGCGUGCGGGAUGACGGCCUUCGGGUUGUAAACCGCUUUCGCCUGUGACGAAGCGUGAGUGACGGUAAUGGGUAAAGAAGCACCGGCUAACUACGCG